AACGAACGCUGGCGGCAUGCCUAACACAUGCAAGUCGAACGAGACCUUCGGGUCUAGUGGCGCACGGGUGCGUAACGCGUGGGAACCUGCCUUUAGGUUCGGAAUAACUCAGAGAAAUUUGAGCUAAUACCGGAUAAUGUCUUCGGACCAAAGAUUUAUCGCCUUUGGAUGGGCCCGCGUAGGAUUAGCUUGUUGGUGGGGUAAUGGCCUACCUAGGCGACGAUCCUUAGCUGGUCUGAGAGGAUGAUCAGCCACACUGGGACUGAGACACGGCCCAGACUCCUACGGGAGGCAGCAGUGGGGAAUAUUGGACAAUGGGCGAAAGCCUGAUCCAGCAAUGCCGCGUGAAUGAUGAAGGCCUUAGGGUUGUAAAGCUCUUUUACCAGGGAUGAUAAUGACAGUACCUGGAGAAUAAGCUCCGGCUAACUCCGUGCCAGCCGCCGCCGUAACAC
rnacentral:rRNA from 1 species